rnacentral:rRNA from 1 species
GAUGAACGCUAGCGGCAGGCUUAAUACAUGCAAGUCGAGGGACAGCACAGGUAGCAAUACUGGGUGGUAACCGGCAAACGGGUGCGGAACACGUACACAACCUUCCUUUAAGUGGGGGAUAGCCCAGAGAAAUUUGGAUUAAUACCCCGUAAUAUAGUUGAAUGGCAUCAUUUGAUUAUUAUAGCUAAGGCGCUUAAUGAUGGGUGUGCGGCUGAUUAGAUAGUUGGCGGGGUAACGGCCCACCAAGUCUACGAUCAGUAGCUGAUGUGAGGACAUGAUCAGCCACACGGGCACUGGGACACGGGCCCGACUCCUACGGGAGGCAGCAGUAAGGAAUAUUGGUCAAUGGACGCAAGUUUGAACCAGCCAUGCCGCGUGAAGGAUUAAGGUCCUCUGGAUUGUAAACUUCUUUUAUUUGGGACGAAAAAGGGUCUUUCUAGACCAACUGACGGUACCAGAUGAAUAAGCACCGGCUAACUCCGUGCCAGCCGCCGCAGUAA